rnacentral:rRNA from 1 species
UUGGAGGGCAAGUCUGGUGCCAGCAGCCGCGGUAAUUCCAGCUCCAAUAGCGUAUAUUAAAGUUGUUGCAGUUAAAAAGCUCGUAGUUGAAUUUCGGGAUCAGUACGCUGGUCGUGCCUUGGUAUGUACUGGUGUCACUGGUUACUACCUUCUGACGAACCGUCAUGUCAUUAAUUUGGUGUGGCGGGGAAUCAGGACUGUUACUUUGAAAAAAUUAGAGUGUUUAAAGCAGGC